GCCAAAAUAGCUCAGACAGUAAGAGCAUGAGGCUCUUAAUCUCAGGGCUGUGAGUUCCAGCCCCACAUUGGGCA